AAACCAGCACCUCAAGUGGUCAGGAGGAUUAUUGGGCCUAAAGCAUCCGUAGCCUGUUCUGUAAGUUUUCGGUUAAAUCCAUUAGCUCAACUAAUGGGCCGCCGAAAAUACUGCAUAACUAGGGAGUGGGAGAGGUAGACGGUACUCGGUAGGAAGGGGUAAAAUCCUUUGAUCUAUUGAGGACCACCUGUGGCGAAGGCGGUCUACCAGAACACGUUCGACGGUGAGGGAUGAAAGCUGGGGGAGCAAACCGAAUUAGAAACCCCGGUAGUCC
rnacentral:rRNA from 1 species